rnacentral:rRNA from 1 species
CCUAGGGGAGGCAGCAGUAGGGAAUAUUGGGCAAUGGAGGAAACUCUGACCCAGCGACGCCGCGUGAGGGAUGAAGGCCUUCGGGUUGUAAACCUCUUUCAGUAGGGAAGAAGCGAAAGUGACGGUACCUAAAGAAGAAGCACCGGCUAACUAUGUGCCAGCAGCCGCGGUAAU